AUUUGUCAGAGGUGGGAAGCGACAGUGAUGACCUCCGAGCGGCUGAACCUUUAGAGUUGCAGGAAGGACGGACGGACGUCGUCAUCAGCCUGCCCGUCACUGGCAACGUGCCACAUUACAACGUUACCUGCAAAAAGUACCCGUAACUGUACUUAUUAUUCUUUUUUUUUCUUUAGUUCUCUUGUUUUUCCGUUCGGUCUGGUUUUCUUUUUAUCUUGAGAAAAAAAGGAGAACAACAUGGGGAAACGAUGUGUACCUUGUGAGGAUGUGUUGACUCGUUUGGUGGCACCAAACCACAGGUGACAGACGGCAGGAAUCAGAUACCAACUCGUUUCCUGACUGAGAGUCAUAUUUUCUACCUCGGGUGAUACACUACAACUGAAACAUGGAGUCUUCUUUGUAUUCUUACUUGUGUUUCCCUCCAGAGACGACGGCCCCUUGCCUGACGGUGUUGAGCUGUUUGGCAGCAGCCUCACUCUUCAGGGUCCUCUGGAGCUUCAGCACGCCGGCCUGUACGAAUGCUUCUUCUCCUAUCACCACGUUAAAGCAAACCUGACGAUCCGUGUCACAGUUAAACCUCAACGUAUGCUGCCUGUUGCUCCAACAAUUGGAGUAGACUUUCGGACUGAAGACGGACACAGGCUGAUAGAGUGCUCAGCAGCAGAUGCUGUACCUGCAGCCAACAUGUCCUGGCUUCUACCAGAGGGUUCGUCUGGAGUUUCUUGGUUCAAUUUCACUUCUCAUAAUGGAAGCCACUCCGUCAGGGGAGUUUUACUCCUCCCUGCCUGCUCGCCUUGGGAGCUCACCGCAGAGUGUGUAAUAAAUCACCCGGCGUUCGAGGGGCCGGCGAACAGAAGCAUCACCCUCCCUCCCUGCGCCCGCCCCGAAAUCACCAUCAACUCGAGCACUGAGUGGACGGACGGCGAAGAGUUCAUGAAGGUGGACUGCUCCGUGGAGAGCGUUGCCCCGGCAGCAACCGUGAGGUGGCAUGUUGGAAACAGCAGCAGCAUCGGUUACCUGUCUGCGACUGAGGUCCGGCCCGAUGGUUCGGUGCGGGCCCGGAGCUCCGCGCGUGUCCCGUCAUCUUCGUGUUGUGGUCAGAAUGUGACCUGCACAGUGGAGCAUCCAAGCCUGGAGGCACCAGAAAAAAGAACAAUGCACAUUCUUUUGAACAAAGCCCCCCCUGCUGGCUGUGUCUCUGGUGAGACAGCAGGAGUCUCCUCUCUGGCUGGCGGUGUGUGA
ensembl:lncRNA